rnacentral:other from 1 species
UGGGCGGUCAACAGGGCGGGCCCGGGCGGAGCGGCGGCAACGCGCGGAGAUCCCGAGGGCGACCGGGGCCAGCUGGGGCCCCCGGCGGCGCGCCCCCUCGGCCCGGCCGGGAGCCGCGCCAGUCGGAGCCCCUGGCCGAGGGCUGCCAGCCAGCUUCUCAGCGCCCAUCCCUCCGGAGAGCAGCCGGGGGGCAUGACCGACCCACCAGGGGCGCCGCCGCCGGCGCUCGCAGGCCGCGGGUGAAGAAGAAAGUCCGUACCCGCUCGGCCCGGAGCGAGGAGGCGCCGCGAGACGAGGAGGCGCCCCAGAUCGAGGAGGCGCCCCCGGCCGAGGAGGUGACCCCAGACGAGGUGAUCCAGGCGGAGGAGGUG